UUGAACUGUGUAGUCAAUCUAACAAGCAGAUUAAAUGGAACGGAAAACAUCAUUCAUUCGGGCCUUUUUCAAGGCAUCAGUUUGUUAGGUGAAAGAGCUCUGGAGCUCAAGAAUAAGUGACCAACGCUUAUUGAGCUAUAUUCGGGAAAAGUUUGACAUAGAAUGAGUGUACUCUUUGCCAGACGGUCUCGCAAAUUUCGGUUUAGCUUCCGCCAAAAAAGAGCGGAAAGGAGUGGGAAAAGCUGUCAACAAUUAAUGCCGCCUACCUGAACGGUCCCGAUGCUUGACAAAGUCAAACUGUCCAGUUAGGACAUGUAUAACAACAGGCAGAUGGAUUAUUCAUAGCCCGACCUACUCUAACCAAAGAGUUGUUAUAAAGAAAGCGGAGCCCUUCCAAGGGUAUAGCACCACGGUCCUCAAGGUUUCGCGAGCAAUUUUAAUUUGUUAACAUCGGUGUUGAGCAGGGGCGAGGCCAAACAAAAUCGCGAACAUGGAGAUGAAUGUUAUAAUGCCAACAUUUGUAGCUUAUUGCAAACGGAAGUGAUCCAAAGAAACAUCCACCUGCGACUUGUCGGAAACAUUGCAUGUUUCCGCUAAUUUUAUAGGAAAAAGGCAAGAUCGGUCGCUAACCGGCGUCGAUGGCCCGAAUACUGGGACUCAUUACUCCUCGCAGCGACACUCACAGAGAAAGACCGGGCUUUUCAGUAGCACUAAGCAUCUACAAUGAGUCAUUUCAUAGAUGUUAUUGUUGUCGCCAUCCGCUACCAGUAGAGUUCGCCCAUUGUGCUGACGUGAUCGCAGAUCGGCGCGGCGUCCAGCCUUUUGGCCUCGUUUUAAACUAGCGCGUUCAGGGAACGUCCUGCCAUCCAUAGGACAACGGCUAGUUGCCUAUCGGAUUCAGGCGCGCCAUUUGGGGCAACUGGGGUUCCGUCGAUUUCCGUCAAACGCAACGAACAUCAACGAGACCAUCACAAUAGUAGGCAUUCUCCUGUCAGGUCAUCUUAUCGCCUUUAUAUUUGUCGCUUACCGUAUACGGCGAA
rnacentral:lncRNA from 1 species